rnacentral:rRNA from 1 species
AUUGAACGCUGGCGACAUGCUUUAUACAUGCAAGUCGAACGGUAACGCGGGGGCGACCCUGGCGACGAGUGGCGAACGGGUGAGUAAUACAUCGGAACGUGCCCAGUAGUGGGGGAUAGCUCGGCGAAAGCCGAAUUAAUACCGCAUACGCCCUAUGGGGGAAAGUGGGGGAUCGAAAGACCUCGCGCUAUUGGAGCGGCCGAUGGCAGAUUAGCUUGUUGGUGAGGUAAAGGCUUACCAAGGCGACGAUCUGUAGCUGGUCUGAGAGGACGACCAGCCACACUGGGACUGAGACACGGCCCAGACUCCUACGGGAGGCAGCAGUAGGGAAUUUUGGACAAUGGGCGAAAGCCUGAUCCAGCAAUGCCGCGUGAGUGAUGAAGGCCCUCGGGUUGUAAAGCUCUUUUGGUAGGAACGAAAAGGUCCUUGCUAAUACCAAGGACCGAUGACGGUACCUGCAGAAUAAGCACCGGCUAACUACGUGCCAGCCGCCGCCGUAAUAC